rnacentral:tRNA from 1 species
GGAGAGGUAGAAUGUAAUUGGUAUCAGGGCGGUCUUGAAAACCGUCAGCCGUUCAUCGGUGUGUCAGUUCGAGCCUGACCCUCUCCG